UAGAUUGUAGUUUUGCAACCUCAAUGAACUAAUUUUGGCUUUUCUCCUUUUCUCUUUUAGUGUACCUUCGUGAACAAUUCAAUCACUGUGGAGCAUGCCAAAGAUUAUGGACACACGCAUCUGUCCGAGAUAAUUGGUUAUGCAGAACGGUUUAAGAACAGAGCAAUCCUCUUGAUUCACUUUUCAGCACGUUACACCGUGGAGGAAAUUGAAGAAGCUAUAACUGGUUUGCCACCCCCUCUAGCUGGUCGAACUUUUGCACUUACCGAAGGUUUCUGACAAGUUGGGAGUUUGGUUCAAUACACGAGUGACCAAUGCGGCCACAAGAUUGUUGUUUAGGCGUUAACUGCAUUGGAAUCUUAGCGGAAAUUGCAACCUUUACUAUGUAUACCAUUUUAACCCCAAUUUCCGCAUCACGCCACAUCCACAACCACCAUUGUAGGUGCAAUUUAAAACCAUCCAGCCGCUUUUUUAGCAAGUGGUCAUAGGCAAACUGCACAUUGUCAUUGAUGGAACAUGUCGAGCAGUGAGCAAAUUAGGCUGUGCAGGGAGCACAAAUUUUUUAAAGGUACCCUCACACUACGACACAAUAUAUGUAUUUAGCAUUUUGUUAUAGAUAUUAAACCUAAAACACUGAUUUUUAUUGCAAUUUUAUCCUUUAAAAAUU